rnacentral:tRNA from 1 species
AGAAACUUAGGUUAAACAUAAACCAAGGGCCUUCAAAGCCCUAAAUAAGAGAUAAGACUCCUAGUUUCUG